GGGGCAUCGCUUGACGUUAUCUGGGUCACCUCCCACCCGUGUCUAUCGUACCUUGUUGCUUCGGCGGGCCCGCCGUUUCGACGGCCGCCGGGGAGGCCCUGCGCCCCCGGGCCCGCGCCCGCCGAAGACCCCAACAUGAACGCUGUUCUGAAAGUAUGCAGUCUGAGUUGAUUAUCGUAAUCAGUUAAAACUUUCAACAACGGAUCUCUUGGUUCCGGCAUCGAUGAAGAACGCAGCGAAAUGCGAUAAGUAAUGUGAAUUGCAGAAUUCAGUGAAUCAUCGAGUCUUUGAACGCACAUUGCGCCCCCUGGUAUUCCGGGGGGCAUGCCUGUCCGAGCGUCAUUGCUGCCCUCAAGCACGGCUUGUGUGUUGGGCCCCCGUCCCCCUCUCCCGGGGGACGGGCCCGAAAGGCAGCGGCGGCACCGCGUCCGGUCCUCGAGCGUAUGGGGCUUUGUCACCUGCUCUGUAGGCCCGGCCGGCGCCAGCCGACACCCAACUUUAUUUUUCUAAGGUUGACCUCGGAUCAGGUAGGGAUACCCGCUGAACUUAAGCAUAUCAAUAAGCGGAGGAA
rnacentral:rRNA from 1 species